rfam:TPA: Bos taurus chromosome 3, whole genome shotgun sequence.
UCCCAGAUGGCUCAGUGGUAAAGAAUCUGCCUGCCAAGCAGGAGAUGUGGGUUCCAUCCCUGGGUUGGGAA